UGGGGAAUAUUGCACAAUGGGCGCAAGCCUGAUGCAGCCAUGCCGCGUGUAUGAAGAAGGCCUUCGGGUUGUAAAGUACUUUCAGCGGGGAGGAAGGUGUUGUGGUUAAUAACCACAGCAAUUGACGUUACCCGCAGAAGAAGCACCGGCUAACUCCGUGCCAGCAGCCGCGGUAAUACGGAGGGUGGAAGCGUUAAUCGGAAUUACUGGGCGUAAAGCGCACGCAGGCGGUCUGUCAAGUCGGAUGUGAAAUCCCCGGGCUCAACCUGGGAACUGCAUCCGAAACUGGCAGGCUUGAGUCUUGUAGAGGGGGGUAGAAUUCCAGGUGUAGCGGUGAAAUGCGUAGAGAUCUGGAGGAAUACCGGUGGCGAAGGCGGCCCCCUGGACAAAGACUGACGCUCAGGUGCGAAAGCGUGGGGAGCAAACA
rnacentral:rRNA from 1 species